GGAGGAAAGUAGGGGAUCGCAAGACCUUGCGCUAAAGGAGCGGCUGAUGUCUGAUUAGCUAGUUGGUGAGGUAAGGGCUCACCGAGGCAACGAUCAGUAGUUGGUCUGAGAGGACGGCCAACCACACUGGGACUGAGACACGGCCCAGACUCCUACGGGAGGCAGCAGUGGGGAAUUUUGGACAAUGGGCGAAAGCCUGAUCCAGCCAUGCCGCGUGAGUGAAGAAGGCCUUCGGGUUGUAAAGCUCUUUUAGUCGGAAAGAAAAAAUCAUAAUAAAUAGUUAUGAUUCAUGACGGUACCGGCAGAAAAAGCACCGGCUAACUACGUGCCAGCAGCCGCGGUAAUACGUAGGGUGCGAGCGUUAAUCGGAAUUACUGGGCGUAAAGGGUGCGCAGGCGGUUUUGUAAGUCAGGUGUGAAAUCCCCGGGCUUAACCUGGGAAUUGCGUUUGAAACUACAAAGCUAG
rnacentral:rRNA from 1 species